rnacentral:rRNA from 1 species
GAAGGCCCAAGCGUUAUCCGGAGUUACUGGGCGUAAAGCGCGCGCAGCCGGUGAGUAUAGUCUGAUGUUAAAUCUCAGGGGCCCAACCCUGAAACCGCAUUAGAAACGUAUUCACUAGAACAAGUCAGAGGCAAGCGGAACGUGUAGUGGAGGGGUGAAAUCCGCUGAUAUUACACGGAACACCAAAAGCGAAGGCAGCUUGCUGGGGCUUUGUUGACGGUCAGGUGCGAAAGCGUGGGGAUCAAAAAGGAUUAGAUACCCUUGUAGUCCACGCCCUAAACGAUGCAGACUAGCUAUCGGGAGCAUCGACCCUCUCGGUGGCGUAGCUAACGCGUUAAGUCUGCCGCCUGGGAAGUACGAUCGCAAGAUUA